GAUGUCCCUGAGGAAGGUCUGAGAUAGGGGCGUGUUUGGCGAGUAGGUGGUAGACCGGGUGACUCAUCGCAUUCGAUGGAGAGGUCAGCCAGUCACACGCCACAGCGCGCACAGCGGUUGGAAUAGGCUCUGGGUUGACGAAUU
rnacentral:ribozyme from 13 species